rnacentral:lncRNA from 1 species
UAGAUGUUCAAGGAGUGUAAAUUUCUGUUAAGAUAAAAUAAUUGCAGAUUCUCUUUACAAUUCAUGUAACUGUUCUUUGCUAGGAACUGUCUUGUAGUGUCUUGUGAGUGUGUCUUACUAUAAGGUUCUAGCAUUCUAAGUGAUCGUGCUGCAUUGCCUGCUCCUCUUGAUGAUGGGUACAGUGGUAGUCAUCCUCUACCUACAUCCUGCUGUUCUCUGGUCACCUCGCACUUGGUCUCUUAAAGUAGUCCUCCUAUCCACUUCAGGCCUUCCCUGUGACCCUGCCUCCAGAGACUCCCUAUGGCCCUUGCUGGGGCAGAGCGAGAGCCUCUGCCUGGUGUGCAGCCUCUCUGAUCUCUGACUGGUGCUGAGAUCAGGUGAACUUGGGGUGUUACUAAAUGCGUGCAUUAUGCCACCUGUGCCCUCUGACCGAAAUGACUUCCCCUCACCAUUGUCAUCUUUUUGGCUGCCUCAUCAAUAUUCAUCUUGGGCUUUUUUGGGAAACUUUACCUAGCCCACGUAUUUCAUAAUCCCGACUAUGUGCCUAUCAUAUUUUAUUGCAUGUAUGUUUGUUUUCCUAUACAAGACUGUAAGCACCUUUAAGAACAGUGUAAUACAUAUGUGCAUAUAGAAAUCAAAAGUUGACAAACCCACUCACUAGGUUACUAUUCAUAUCUCCCGAGACAAUGUCACUUACUGCUUUGUUCCUCGACCUUCUAAAACAUUAAAUCAAUGAGAGGCUUAUGAAUUGUUGUUUUAGAGGCUCUAUGACUUCUCACAUAUUUAAUGACUUGGUAUGAGAGAGUAAUUUAACAGAAAUUUACACUCCUUGGUAUAAAGUCACUUGGAACACAGAGAUUAUUUAUUACUCCAAGGACGUAACAUAUUAAAAUGGAAGAAUCCAGGCACAGCCUUCAAGCCUUCUUCCAGGAGGCCUCACGCAGGAUGUAUACCUUCAUUCAGUAAUGACAUGCAGUAACACUUGUGUUGGGUUCUACCCAGGUAAGCCUGCUUCACUCAAAACUCGGGGUGUUCCCUGGGGGCUGGUCUUGGAGACACCCUCUCGGCCUCUGCACCCAACCACAGCAACCUAAAUUCCAGACCCUGAAGAAAAUUAAGUGUUCACCAGAAAUCAUGUCAUAUUUACACACAGUGUAGGCACUGAUGCAGCAGGGUUCAGUGUCUCAGGCAGGCUAACAAAGCAGGGAACAUUCUAGAAGUCAGCUGUCCAGCCACCAGUAAGAGUCACCUGGUAAACAGACAUUGCUGAAGACAGCAGCCAGGGGCUGCUCUUCUCUUGUCUACUAAUCCAUUGUAAGGCAGAGAUUCCAGCUCCUCCCCCAAACCCCUCCAAGAGAAGCAGGAGCAGCAAGAUGCUGUAGCAACCCAUCCACCACACACUUCAGGUACGAUAAAGACGCAUGCUGAAAUGCAGAAAUCCCCACGUAGGAAGGGAAGACCUUUCUUGUUGGUAAAGUGAAAUAGCAACACUAACAUGACUUUUCUAUAAAACAAGUGUUUUAAAGCACUUAAAAGAAUUACUUUUAAAAAGGAAAUACAUCCUCUAAAUUCAUAAAUUUAUUUGUACUAUAAACACUUUUUUAAAAAAUCUUUUUUAGUCGUAGUUGGACACAGCAUAUUUUAUUUUUAUGUGUGCUGAGGAUCAAACCCAGUGCUUCACACAUGAGCUCUAUCACUGAUCUACACCCCAG